rnacentral:rRNA from 1 species
UACGGGGGGAGCAAGCGUUGUUCGGAUUUACUGGGCGUAAAGGGCGCGUAGGCGGCUUAACAAGUCACUUGUGAAAUCUCCGGGCUUAACUCGGAACGGCCAAGUGAAACUGUCAAGCUAGAGUGCAGAAGGGGCAAUCGGAAUUCUUGGUGUAGCGGUGAAAUGCGUAGAUAUCAAGAGGAACACCUGAGGUGAAGACGGGUUGCUGGGCUGACACUGACGCUGAGGCGCGAAAGCCAGGGUAGCAAACGGGG